AGGCUUAGUUGUUGUUGUUGUUGUACAUAGGUCUAUAUGUUUUAUCUUAUCUUAUGAGGGCUUCUUUAGCUCACUAUCCAUAUCUAGAAAGGUGUAAAAAGUAAAUCAUUAACUAGUAGCUAUUUCAAUGUUAUUAACUGUGUUUAUUUUAUGUUUGUUCUUUGUUGUUGCACAAUUUUAGUUUCUGCAGAAAUGAAGAAGAGGCACAAUCCAGUCAAUGCAUCCAGUCCUGAUAUUGAUCUUAAAUAUUGCAUUAAUCAGAAUUCUGUGUUCUUUGACAAGUUGAUUGAAUUGAUCCCUGCUAAGUUCUAUUUACCAAUCAGUGAUAAAGAGAAGAAAUGGCCAAGGCCUUAGCAAGAAUGAAAAGGCUUCAGCAAAGAAGGAAUCAGGAGAAAACAUCAAGAAAGCACGGUGAGAGAGGCUAGAUCCAGAUAAGUCUUCUACAACAACCCUUGAUAGGCUGAUGAAAAUCUUGGAAAAGGAAAAAUCAAGUGAUGAGAGUAUUGAUGAAGGAUUGGAGAUUAAUCCUAUGAUGUCUGGUUUAGAAGACAAUGAUCGUAGGGUGACAUACGAAGAACUCCGGCAACGACUUCGUCACAAAAUUGAUGAGCUUAGACGAGGUCAAAACAAUGAUGGCUUAGACAAAGUAAAGAAGAAGCAUGAGAGAAGAAAUUCAGCAAAAGAAACGCAAGAGGGAUUCAGAGUCUGAAGAAAAGAAGCCCACAAAAACUUCAGUUGAAAAAGUGGAGAAGGAUGUAGAAGAGGCUACAAAAGAACUCAAAUUUAGUCAUGUUAAACUAGGGAAUAAAGAAGGGCAAGAAAAGAAGAAGAGGAAGCUUUCAAAGUUAAAGGAGCUUCAAAAGGCGAGAGAAUUGGAGGAAGCGAAGGACCCGGUGCAAGCAGAUAUUAUCUCAAAGAAGCAUUUGUGGAAAGCUGCAACAAGUAGAGCUGCAGGAGUUAAGGUUCAUGAUGAUCAAAAGCGGUUGAAACAGAAUAUACAGAAGGAGAAGAAGAGGCAUCAAAGAGUGUUGAGAAAUGGAAGGAGAGGAUUGUAACCCAACAGAAAAUGAAAGCAGAAAAACAGCAGACAAGAUCACAUAAUAGAGCUGAGGGGAUUUACCAGAAAAAGAUGCAGCGGAUUGCAAAAAGAGAGAAAAAGCUCAUGCGGCCAGGUUCUGAAUGGCGAAAAGAUGGUUACGUUAAUGACGCUUCAACUGAAGGUGCCUCUUUCUAAAAGUUUGUGUUGGUAUCUUAGUCUCUAAAGAAUAGGCGUAAGCCUGAUAUUCAGAGCCAAAAGAACAUUAGGUUUUUGAAACCAGAUAAAGAUUUCCAGUGUUUUUCAAAUAUUGUUUUUUCGCUAAAAUGCGGGUAUGUGAUUCCCACAAGCUUAAAUGGUUCUCUUCUCUCUCCCUUCUCC
rnacentral:misc_RNA from 1 species